GAAACUCGGGCUGAAAUACACCGUUUGCUGAAGAGCAGGGCUGGGCACUGGUUUCUCUGCGUUCUGAAUUUCUAGAAAGGAGCCGAGCAUAGAUUGAUGUGGCAUAAGUGCUCAAUAAAUGCCCAUGGACUUGGCUAAUGGAUGGACUUGCAGGGGACACUGCCCCAUCAGGAGAGAAAGUGCCGUGGACACUGCCAGAAUUUGUCAAAGGUCCUAGGAAGAAAAGGCUCUUUCACCCCUCCCCUCAAUGAACAGAUGGCGUGUUUGGACUGUUCGCAUUCGCUCCUCAUAGGUGGGAUCCUGGAGGAAGUUAAGGGGUGCUCCGUUCCCUGGGGAUGGGACAGCAGCUCGCCUUUUUACUAAUAGCUAUAAGGGACUGUCAGACAUUUACCUGACUAGACCUUCACCUCAGAGCUCAGAAGGGGAACAGCUCCAGAACUAAAAGAGAGAGCCUCUGGCAGACCCCAAAAGACAGCAUGUGGAGUGAAGCUGGGCUUCCCUGCCCAAUCACUAGGAUCAUUUAUUGCACAAAUACCUGUAUUUUAAGCUGCAGAUUAUUGUGAAUUUUUGUAUUUUCUUCAUUUCCAUUUAGCUUUUUUUCAAUUUUAGAAUAGCCUUUCUCUAGAUAACUCGAGGAAGUGGGAGACGGAAUUUCCUUUGUUUCUGUCUUGAGCCCAAAGGGACAAUUGAGUGUCAGGUAUGACAGGGAUAAAGGGAGAAACUCAGAAAUAAUGCUUUUGUUUUGUUUUGUUUUGUUUUGAGAUGGAGUCUCGCUCUUGUCGCCCAGGCUGGAGUGCAAUGGCAUGAUCUUGGCUCACUGCAAACUCCACCUCCUGGGUUCAAGCGAUUCUCCUCCUCAGCCUCCCAAGUAGAUGGGCUUACAGGCAAGCGCCAUCACGCCCGGCUAAUUUUGUAUUUUUAGUAGAGAUGGGGUUUCACCAUAUUGGUCAGUCCGGUCUUGAACUCCUGACCUUGUGAUCCACCCACCUUGGCCUCUCAAAGUGCUGGGAUUACAGGCAUGAGCCACCGCACCCAGCCAGAGGAAUGUUUUGGGUGCUACACGUGCAGCCCCUCAUGACUGUAUCUCCUCAGAGCUCUUUUCUUCACAUUCCUGAGUGCUUUGUGUUUUGUUUAUUUAAGGGACAAAUGAAUCUCUUCCCACGCCAUGGGAUUUCCCUUGAUUUUUAUAUUGGGAGUGAAAAGAUGAAGCAUGAGACUCUUCAGCUGCAUCUCGAACUGCAUCUAAUCCCAGCACAUCUCUCUCAAUCUUUGAUUAAGUCUGUUCAUCUAAAAGAGAGACACAGGGGAAAAAUGGAAAUGGGACUUUGGAAGAAUGACCAUCCACAUUCCCAUCACAGCCUGAGAUUUCCUACCUGAUUGAGAUUUUCAGUAGAUGGCCCUAGGUCUAGUUUCCCACUUUGGACCUGCUGCCCUUGGCUCCAAUAGAGGACUUCCAAGUAACUAGGAAGAUUUCACCUCUCUUUUGAAACAUAAUGGACAAAUGUGUUUCUUUAGGAUGAGAGGUGCACCUGGCUAGUCAAUCUUUAUUUUCCUAAAAUAAACAGGAUGAAAACUCAAAACAAAAAGAAAUACCUCAUGGGCAAAAGCUCUCCCAAUACAACUAAUACAGACACUCAACAUGGCUUUGUAGAAACUGACCCCUCUCCCAAGUCUUAUGUUUGUCAGAAUUGCAUGCCUAUUUCAAUCGAAGAAAAGUGAUCUGAUCUCUUCAGAUGAAGGUGGGACUUGGAGAUGCUGCUGCCUAGAGUUAACUUGCCAGAGAAAGGAUAAGCAUUCGGGAAGUGCCAGGAUGGGGUAUCAGCUGAACAAUGGCAGGAUCCCUUCUGCCAGUGGGCUGGCUCAGGGAGUAAACCUCCCCGGAAGGAAUUUUGUUUCUCUCUAGAAUCAAAGUGGGCAAAAUGAUCACCUUAUUCGCCUGGAGUGAACCAGGUUGAAACUGAGAAGGCAGACAUGGGUGAUAAGCCAGAUGAAGUCAUAUGUUAUAACUAAGCUAUGUACCUGUAACUUGCCUGGUAGUUUUUUCAUUCUCUCUAAACAGGUCAUAAUAAGUGUUAGUCUGUGAUCCACUAUGGAGAGAGAUUUCUGGAAAGAAUAGAGGCAGUGGUAGAGGGUCCAAGGUUGUUAUUUAAGGAGAUGAAUGUGGGUCAGGUGCCGUGGCUCACACCUGUAAUCCCAGCAUUUUGGGAGGCAGAGGCAGGAGGAUUGCUUAAGGCCAGAGUUCAAGACCAAACUGGCCAAUAUAGUGAGAUCCCCCCCCCAUCUCUACAAAAGAUAGAAAAACUUAGCCAGGCAUGGUGGCAGGUGCUAUAGUCCCUGCCACCAUGGGACUACAGCUCCUGCAGUCCCAGCUACUCAGGAGUUGAGGCGGAAGGAUUGCUUGAGCCCAGAAGUUCGAGGUUGCAGUGAGCCAUGAUCAUGCCACUGCACUCCUCCGUGGGUGACAGAGCGAGACCUGACUCAAUAAUAAUAAUAUUAAUAAUAAUGAUAAUGCAACACAAACUAUCUUUUACCUCUUGAACAAUGAAUGCAGAUGCCAUGACUACAUCUGUUUGUUGGGGACCAGGGAGGCUGCCAGUGAGGAUUCAGGGUGGAAGUAGUGUGUACCCAAUACCUAUUGUGAGAUGUGGCCUGGGGAGCCCUGAGAUUGCCUGGCCAGGCUCACUCACUACCCAGACACCCUCUUCCUGCAUGGCGAGUCCCUCAGCCCCUCCAAGGCUCAAUUCUCAGACAUCGGAGUAAUCCACAUCCUCCAUCUUGAGUUACUCCUCACAAGGCCUGCAAGUUUUCCUAGGAGGAAGGGAAGACAGGGUUGAACCCACACAAUUCUAGAAUCUAGAAUUUGGAGGAUUUCUAAACCAUUUCUGUAAGUCAGCCCUUGAGAACUUGUAGAUUUUCUCAUCAUUUGCAGCAUGAGAGUCUGGAGUAGACUGUUUGGAUUUGACUCUUGGUUCCUUGGGCAAGUUACUUAACCUCUCAGCUGUGUGUCAGUUUCCUUAUCUAAAAAGUGUGGUUAAUAAUAACUGACCUCUCAGAGGUAUUGUGAGGUUACUGUGAUGAUUAAAUUAGUUGAUUCAUAUAAAAUGUUUAAAAGAGUGCCUGGCAUUAUUAUUAAUAGUAAUAAGUUUAGCAUAAGUCUUGCCUGCCAAUAAGGAGCUGGAUUGAAUGACUACUUUGAUUCUAUUUCUUGGCCUUCUCUUCUCUGGACUAGGUGACCCCAACUUUCUCCUUACUCCUGAAAAAUUUAUCCCAGUCUGCUAAGGAAGAGAAAGCCCAUGUGUGCACAUACACACAUGCACCUACACAAACAUUUACAUACAGUUUUGCUCUUCUAUACAGAGUUAAUAGAGCUACUAGAGUGUCUAGGAACCAAUCUGAAAGAGAAAGGAAACACUGCUUUUUUUUUGUUUGUUUUUUGAGAUGGAGUCUCACUCUGUCACCAGGCUGGAGUGCAGUGGCGCAAUUGUGGCUCACUGCAAACUCCACUUCCCUAGUUCAAAUGAUUCUCCUGCCUCAGCCUCCCGAGUAGCUGGGACUACAGGCGUGCAUCACCACACCCAGCUAAUUUUUGUAUUUUUAGUAGAGAUGGGGUUUCACCAUGUUGGCUAGGAUGGUCUUGAUCUCUUGACCUCGUGAUCUGCCUGCCUCAGCCUCUCAAAGAGCUGGGAUUACAGGCAUGAGUCACCACGCCCGGCCGAAACACUGCUUAUUACAAUUUAUAGGUUUAUGUUCAAAAAGUUGCUAAUCUUAUUGCUGUGAACCCCUGCCAUCUCUAGUCCUGCCCACCUAUAGGUACUGCAGACCAAAUUACAGAUUCAGAUUUGCCCAGUUCCUGUUCCUGUCUUGACCAAUCCUAGUAACUUAUUUGGGGCCCAGCCCCAUCUUCAGUGGAAGGUCUAAAAUUGGCCUUGCUUCCUUAAGCUGGGUACACAGUGGGCCCAGGACUAAGCCUCAUGAAGCUUUUAGAGGCCCACUGAGAUUAACCUUUCUCACCAGUGCUCACCUUGUCUUCCUAGUGACCAUGGCUGCCUUCUGUCUAGUUCUAGAGUUGCACUCUAAUUCUCUUCCAGCGCUGUUGCCCUGAUCUACAUAUCUAUCUCUUUUAGAACUUUCCAGCUUAUGUGUCCAAUGUCAGUCUUUCUUCCAAAUAAAUAGAACUUUAUCUUG
rnacentral:lncRNA from 1 species